ACAAAGCCCAUUCUAGUAAUGGACCGAACAACGUAGAAAGCCCACUUUAGACGUUUGCAGUCGAUUCUCAGGUUCUGUCCGGCACCACAUAAUCCCGAACCCAAAACAAAAACAGUAACUGCGAAACGCAAGCCGAAGCCGCCACUUUCGUCCACCCUGCUUAAGCAUCCAAUCUGCGACACAGAGACGGUCAUGGAAUCGAGUUCCAAGGGAGAAGACGAAGUCGGAGGAUACAACAGCAGCAACGUUAAAAAAGCCAAGCUGCAGUCAACUCUCGCUGCUCUCCUCGACGACCCUAUACUUUCUGAUGUCCCCAAGAAACCCACUUUAUCUGAUGUUGACACCCUCAUCAGCCUUGAAAUGGGUAGUGCCAUGCGCAUAUCGGUUCAAAAGCUUGACGGAACCUCCUUUGAUGUGGCAUUGAUGAAUUCGGCCACGGUGAAGGAUUUGAAGCUUGCAAUUAAGAAGAAACUGAUCGAGAUAGAGCAAUCCAAGAUGGGUCAUCGUCAUAUUUCAUGGAAGAAAGUGUGGGCUAAUUUUGCUCUCUCGUUUAAUAAUCAAAAGCUCCUCGAUGACAACUCUGCACUUCAGGAUUCUGGCAUACGAAAUAAUUCUCAGGUGCAUUUUGUGUCCUAUGUCAUGUCAAAGGAUUCUCAAAGGCAUUCUAAGCGAAGAAAGCACCGAUUCUUUCAUGGCCUUAACAAGCGUGCUUAAGCACUCCUUUGUAUUGCUUGAUCUCAUGAUUCUGUACAGCUCCUAAGUAAACCUUCUUUAUAGUAUUGUUAGGGCAGCUAGUGUGUGCGGAGACCGAGCUAGCACAUUUAUUUUGCUAUAGGGAGUCCAUUUUCGGUCCAUGCAGUGUACCCCCCAGCAACAUCGAUUACACGAUUAAAACCCUGCAGAAGCAAUUUCAAUGCUAUCAAACACCAGGUUUUCCGCAUCUAAGAAGUAUGCUAGAAAAAAGUAGGUGUUCAUCAUCACUGCAGGCUACCAGACAUGAGAAGAAGCUCAACAUGAAGGUUAAAAGCUUGACCGUAUGCGUUUCCUGUAGGUCACUCACCAAAUUCAUGGUAUCUUUAGUAUCUUCUUGGACCAAAAGCAUGCCUAUUGUAAGUUAUGGUCUAAAGAAAAUUAUUGUCCAAAAGUUCGGUAUUGGUUUGCUUUAGGUUGUUCUUGAAGAUCUUUCUGAAAGCAAUACAAUUGUACGACUCUA